rnacentral:misc_RNA from 1 species
GCCCCACUCAACAUAAUUUGGCUCCACUAUUGCUUCCAUAUCUCCAAGAUGGAGGGGUUAAUCUCAAGCCGGUUAAUUAAUUUUCUAAGGUUUGCAUUAGUUUGUUGUCAAAAAGAAGAAUCAUUUAAAGAGCAUUCCUCUUAUAUGAAACUGCCAAUUGAAUUUCAAGAAAACAUAAAAAGAAAGAAAAUGUCUUCCAUAGUUACUACUUGAAUUGGGAAAUCAAUAUCCAAAGUGAGACCACCAAUAAAUGGAAAAUGGACAAAGUAUAUAGUAUUUUGCACAAUUAUAAUAAAUAUAUCCCCAACUAAUUGGUUAUGAACAGGGCUUCUAUACUUUUCUUUUUCAUUUCUUUUUGGGAAUUUCACAAAAUUUUCCAGUAGAUGCGGCUCCAUUUGUGAUUUGCUUAAUGUA